GCACUUGUGCUGGAAAACAAAUUGUGCAUACAAAUGAGUAAAUGUGUACUUUUGGCUACCACAUUUUCAAAGUGCCACUACUAUUUUGUGUUCGAGCUGCUUCAUUUAUACAUAUAGUACGAUUGAUUGAAAUGCGCGAGUUAAUGUCGCUUUAAAGCUAUGAGAUAAACGACUUCAUUGUUGUGAAGGCCCAAUAAACCCAUUUAAAUUUUUCAUUUUUAUUUCUCUCUUUUUCGCUCACACUUAUUUAAACGACGAACAAUUUGUAAAUGAAUCGCUGUUAAGUUUGUUGUACUUCACAAAUUGUGUCUUCGCAUUCUAGUUGUUGUAAUCAUUGUGCUAUUGUGUGUGGUAGAAUGAAGUGCACGCAAAGUUUUUCUACGAAAAUUAACAUGGCUGAAUUUGAAGAAGUUCACUUUUGGAUCACAAACGAAUGUGUCUCGGUGGCAUAGUCUUGCUCUCAAGGGGUGUGGAUAAAACAGCGGCUUGCUUGCUGGCUUGCAAUAAGCGCACAUGGAAUGCUUAAAACUGUACCAGUCAGCAGAUGAACUAAAUCAAAACGAUCUUUUUGAAAAGACCACAUUUGAAUGUGUCAUCAAUUUCUAUGAAAUCACUGCAGGAAUUCUGCUACCACUACUUUAGAGGAUUGCCAAUGAAGACAUAAAUUUCCAACUAUGGUUUUCGGCACUUAGUAAGUUCCAUUUUAUUCUCCAUCAUCACAUAAUACUUGCUACGAAUGCACUUUUCAUGCAGUGGAUGUAUAUCGUACGCCCACGAUAAUAUGCUUCGUGCGUUAAAACACUGCUGGUGCGCACCACCUUUGGUUUUGCAGCUUCAAUCAUAUCAAUGAUAUCGGCAGUUAUUUUGAAAAUUUACACUUAAUGAUUGGAUGGUCUAUUCGUGUUCGACGAAAG